GAUAAACGCUGGCGGCGUGCAUAAUACAUGCAAGUCGAGCGAACAGAUAAGGAGCUUGCUCCUUUGACGUUCGCGGCGGACGGGUGAGUAACACGUGGGUAACCUACCUAUAAAACUGGGAUAAAUUCGGGAAACGGGAGCUGAUACCGCAUAAUAUUUCGAACCGCAUGGUACGAUCGUGUAAGAUGUUUUUGCUAUCACUUAUAGAUGAACCCGCACCUUAUUAGCUAGUGGGUGAGGUAACGGCUUAACAAGGCGACGAUACGUAUCCGACCUGAGAGGGUGAUCAGCCACACUGGAACUGAGACACGGUCCAGACUCCUACGGGAUGCAGCAGUAGGGAAUCUUCCGCGAUGGGCGGAAGCCUGACGGAGCAACGCCUCGUGAGUGAUGAAAGGCUUCGGAUCGUAAAACUCUGGUAUUAGGGAAGAACAUACGUGUAAUUAACUGUGCACGUAUAUACGGUACCCAAUCAGAUAGCCACGGGUAACUUCGUU
rnacentral:rRNA from 1 species